GGGGUUGUGGCUCAGUGGUAGAGUGCACGCCUCACACGUGCAAGGCCCUGGGUUCGAUCCUCAGCACCA
rnacentral:tRNA from 1 species